rnacentral:rRNA from 1 species
GAUGAACGCUAGCGGCAGGCCUAACACAUGCAAGUCGAGGGGCAGCACGAUGUAGCAAUACAUGGGUGGCGACCGGCGCACGGGUGCGUAACACGUAUGGAAUCUGCCCUCUACUGGGGAAUAGCCCUCCGAAAGGAGGAUUAAUGCCCCAUAAUAAGCGGAACGGCAUCGUUCUGCUUUGAAAGCUCCGGCGGUAGAGGAUGACCAUGCGCACGAUUAGCUAGUUGGUGAGGUAAUGGCUCACCAAGGCUACGAUCGUUAGGGGGCCUGAGAGGGUUAUCCCCCACACUGGUACUGGGACACGGACCAGACGCCUACGGGAGGCAGCAGUGAGGAAUAUUGCGCAAUGGAGGCAACUCUGACGCAGCCAUGCCGCGUGCAGGAAGAAGGCGCUACGCGUUGUAAACUGCUUUUAACCGGGAAGAAACCCCAGGACGUGUCCUGGGUUGACGGUACCGGAGGAAUAAGCACCGGCUAACUUCGUGCCAGCCGCCGCCGUAAGAC